GACGAACGCUGGCGGCGUGCUUAACACAUGCAAGUCGAACGGAAAGGCCCUGCUUUUGUGGGUUUCUCGAUUGGCGAACGGGUGAGUAACACGUGAGUAACCUGCCCUUGACUUUGGGAUAACUUCAGGAAACUGGGGCUAAUACCGGAUAGGAGCUCCUGCUGCGUGGGGGUGGUUGGAAAGUUUCGGCGGUUGUGGAUGGACUCGCUGCUUAUCAGCUUGAUGGUGUGGUAGGUGCGUACCAAGGCUUUGACGGGUAGCCGGCCUGAGAGGGUGACCGGCAACCUUGGGACUGAGAGACGGACCAGACUCCAACGGGAGGCAGCAGUCGGGAACCUUGCACAAUGGGCGGACGUCUGAGGUAGCAACGCUGCGUGCGGGAUGCCGGCCUUUUGGUUGUAAACCGCUUUCGAAUGUGACGAAGCGUGAGUGACGGUAAUGGGUAAAGAAGCACCGGCUAACUACGUG
rnacentral:rRNA from 1 species